UACGAAGGGGCUAGGCGUUGCUCGGAAUCACUGGGCGUAAAGCGCACGUAGGCGGAUUGCUAAGUCAGGGGUGAAAUCCUGGAGCUCAACUCCAGAACUGCCUUUGAUACUGGCGAUCUCGAGUCCGGGAGAGGUGAGUGGAACUGCGAGUGUAGAGGUGAAAUUCGUAGAGUAUUCGCAAGAACACCAGUGGCGAAGGCGGCUCACUGGCCCGGUACUGACGCUGAGGUGCGAAAGCGUGGGAGCAACAGGG
rnacentral:rRNA from 1 species